AAGCAAGCAAGGUUUCACUUGCUGCCUAAAACAAUGCCGUCCACAGAACAUAACUGUACUUGUGAACAGAAAAGCAGGAGACUGAUCACUCCACAGACCUUGUAUUCACACCCAGUUUCAGGACUUAACAUAUGCACCCAAUGAGAAGAUACUUCUAAAACCUUGACAAUUUGUAAACUGGAAAGCCCCACUAAGAAAAGGUUAUCCAGUGAUUGGCCUGCAAAAACACAGGAACGUUCUAAUUAUCGUACCCUAUCACCUAUAACAACACACUGUAAGGAGAAUACAGCACCACUUUUUAAGACAAAUUUGAACUUGGGACAAUCAAAGGCAACCAAACCACUAACUAAACUGUCAGCUUCCUGAGGGGAGAGACCAUUUCUACCUUGGAUAUCCAGCAUUUACAACUCUGCCUUCAAAUAGAUAUGUACUGUGAUCACUUUAGCAGGACUGUUUCCUGUGUUACACAGCAGCCUCUCCACCUUUGCUGUGCUUUCUCAGAUUAUGUGGAAGCAGAUGAGGCUUUAGUAAGAGGAAGCAUUUGAAUUGCAUCUAUUCCACGGCUACAGGAGCUCUCAGUUACAGGUGGCAAGGUUUUGCAAUCCUCAUUUUGAAUAAAAGUCAUUUCUCUAGUA